rnacentral:tmRNA from 1 species
UUUCCCAGUGUAGUGCCAGCAGGGCUGGCCCAAAUGGGAAUACAAAAAAUCCUCAUGUACAAUUUGUAUUCUAACCUUUUGGCAGCGGAGCGCAACCAUGACAAUGUUAAUGCACUAGAACAUUAUACCAGAAAUAUCUCAUACAUGGGGCGGACGUACAACCUGGAUGCUAUGGCUCAGCACCAAGAUGGUGCCAUGGCCGUGUUGGAUGAUGUUGCUAUGUGUACAGCGGUCCUGGCUGCUAUUGUUCCAGAAGUAUGUAAUCGGGUAGCGAUGGCCACCAUAAGGGAGGGUCAGCAUCCACUUGUGGAGGUGUUUGCGGACAAUGUUCCCAUGCUACAGAGAGGGCAAGAAUUGAAUGUUGAGCAGGAUAUUAUGCUCAUGGGGCUGUUUAUGGCAUAUACUCACAAGCUUGGUUCAAUAUUUAAUCUGAGUACGCGGCUCUGUUUGGGUGCCUACUCCCACGAGACAAAAAUAGGAACCUGUUGGCUCUAGCUCAUCAUGCCAGAAGAAAUAGAACUUAGGUCUCUGGGAAGAAACAGUAGUGGUGAGGUUGUGCUAAAUGGACCCUACCACUGUUCUGAAAAUUCCAGAUGUCCAGACUGUGAAAAGUUUUCAUAUCUGGCAUACUCCUUUCUUAUAUUCUUGACAGUACUGCUAUUUUCAGUGUAUCUACUUUUUGUGUGUCCAUUUGAAAUAAAACAUUUGUAUGGUACUUGGCAGAGUGGAGACUCUAUAUUGGCUGGAGAAGUGGGGCCCAUAUUGAACAGAACUGUUACUUCAAAAUCUUGUUGGAGGGGGCCCAGAUGUGAAAUGUUUAUUCCAAACAUCCCUAUUAUCCUGCCAAAUGAUACAAUUUAUCCAAAUUUUACAAAUUACAAUGGAAGCUAUGCUGAUUAUAGGACUACUCUUCAAGAAAUAAUUCAUACCAUCUUAUAUGAUCAAUGUAACGUCACUGUUUUGUUGCACACAUCCUUUGGGAAGACAUAUGGUAUGGAUGAUGUAUUUUUUAAAACAGUCAUGUAUAAACUCAUCACUUCAUUUUUGAUGGAGGGAAGUACCAUGUGUGAUCUGAAGACGGCAGCCAGGGAUGUUUAUGUCUUACACUCACUAUCCCACCUCCAUGAUGUUGGAAAGGGCUGUAAACUAAGACUUGAUAACAUUUAUGAUGAAUCUUCAGGGAGCCACUACAGUCGAGAGUGUGUAAAGCAGUUUGAUUGUAUGUUGUGUAUUUACCCCAAGUCUAUAAGUGUUUCCUUUAAUUAAAAACUACCACCCACUAUAUUUAAAAUUUGUACAAAUAAAAUGUGGUACGUGUCAGAAAAUUACACUAUGACAGAAACAACUACCAUCUCUGGACAAACAUCAUCUGGAUUUUCAUUUCAUGUGCCUAUCAUGGUCAUAGUGUUGAUUUUGCUGAUUAUUGGACUGUUGCUGUAUGGAGCAUAUAAGUGCUUUUUCUGGGUUAUGUACAAGCGGGCACAGAUAAUGGGGUUGCCAGCCCAAGCACUCUUGUCACGUGUAAAGGUGUAAAAAUCAUUGUACAAACUUGACUAAAUAAAGAUUAUUUUAUUGAAAAAGAGAUGUAUGAUAUCUUGUUUGUUGUCAUCACGUAACAGGUCAUAACACACGCAAUUAGAACAUCAUCAGACAUUGUAUGUGUUUUGGAUUGGAAGGUUAUGGUUUUGUUCUUGUGGUAUAUACAUUUGGUAUUUUUUAUCUGUUCAAUCAGAUAGGAGAUUGGGUCACUAGACAGCAGGACAGUGUUAGAUACCACGGUUUGGCUGGCACAGAGCAAUCCCUGGUUCAAUGAAGAGAUAAAGUUUUGGAAGGCCAGUGUCUUGUCUCCACUCAACAUAUAAAUAGGCCAUUGCAUUCCAGUCUUGUCUCUGUAGGAGGCAAACAGGGUUGGUAGUUUAAUGUUGUGGGAAAUAAAAGUUGCUAUGGCUACAGCUGAGUCUUGAUUGCUAUUUCCCUCUAUUAUACACCUGAUUUCUUGAAUCCAGGGGUGUUGAAACAAUAUUCCCUCCAACAGAGCAGUGGCACAUGAGGCUAUGUUGUGAGCAGCAGUUCCAGUGAGGUUGUUCAGGAAGAAAUGUUCCAACCCUAAGAUAAUACACUUUUUAGUGUGUUUACAGUGACUCAUGGCAACUAUACCAGUUCCAGAGGCGUGGACGUUGUUUCCAUAGGCGGGGUCAAUAUACACAAAAAGUGUAUUUUCUGUAGUUGGGGCCCCCUGGCCCGCAGUGUCACACCUAUAAAAGUCUAGCCGGGUCAGACUGGACUCGUGUAUCAUACUGUUCCCAGAGACUUCCGUGUGUGAUUGCAUAUUGCCCAUUAAUUCUGUGGCAAAUGAUCCCUCUAGCAGUAAAUUGGUGGUACACUUUAUAUUAUCAUUGAUGGUGAUAAAUUCUGGAACAUACAGGCGAUAGCAAGGGCAGGCAGUGAUUGCGCUCUGUUUGUUGAAGUCUUCCAUAUGUUCGCUACAGACAUAGCUGACAACGUUCACCAUCUUCUCAUUGGCAUCUUUGAGGUUAUACAAAAAACUUGUUGUCUUCUCUCCUGAAUUUACAGAGGAGAUAAAAAAGAUCUUGGCAUCCUUCUGUAACAUAAACCCCAAGAUUGCUGGAAGUGCUUCCUUCUUUAUGAAAUUUGCUUCAUCAACAAACAGUAGAUUAAAUGUCUGCCCCCGGAUGCUCUGUGAAUAAAUCAAAGAAUCUGGUUACUGAUCAGGAUCUCCUGGAUGUGGUGAAUUUUUUUAACAGACCAUUACAUGCUCUCAUUGCUGAGGUGUCAAAAACCACUUCUGAUUUGGAACUUGUCAGGUCAACCACCCAAGGUAUUGAAAAUAUCUGUCUCCUGCUAGACUUGGUAGGAACAGAAUGUAUAAAAGAUGCAAGCGCGGCCAAGACAAGUGUAUGAUGCGGCCUCUUUCUAACCCUUUAACAGAGGCCUAUAACGUGCAAAAUUUGUACCAGUGUCUAAAUUGUGAUGAUUAUCACUUGUGUAAUGGUUCUCUCAACUGUGAUCCUCUGGUGGAUCGAGAGGGAAUUGUGUGCACAGUCACUGGAAAGUAUAUCCAGUGUAAUGUCAGGGAAUCACCCAUGUGUGGGGCAGCGUGUCUGGACGUGGACAUUCACCCAGAGGACAAUACAGACUGCAUUCUGCGGGCACUGUUUGGUGACAUUGUAGAUAUUAUUAAUAAAUUGGAUGAUAUUGCUGAAAUUAAAGAUAAGAUCCUCGCUGGAGACUCCCUAAAUGAGCACAUCAAGAAGAAAAUUGAGUGUACCUUUCCAAUGUGCGCCAACAUCAUUAAUUGUAAUAGCCAAGGCUAUUCCAUACUUUGUAGCAUGUUUGUCCAUAUUAUUAUGUCAAUCUAUGCCAACAAAACCAUAUAUGGCCACAUGCUAUUUAAAUGCACCAGAAAUAAAAAGUAUGACACCAUUGCCAAGAAAAUUAGAGAGAAAUGGAUGUAUUUAGAAUAAAUAAAAAAAGUGUUCCUUUACAACAA